GGGCGCUUGGCUUAGUGGUAAAGCGCUCCCUUAGCAAGUUCCGAGCAAUCGGCCUUCAUCUGGGAGAGGUCCAGGGUUCGAUUCCCUGAGUGUCCA
rfam:Stachybotrys chlorohalonata IBT 40285 unplaced genomic scaffold scaffold823, whole genome shotgun sequence.